rnacentral:rRNA from 1 species
GACGAACGCUGGCGGCGUGCUUAACACAUGCAAGUCGAACGGAAAGGCGAUGCUCUUGUGGGGUGCUCGUGUGGCGCACGGGUGUGUAUAACGUGUGUAAACUGCCCUUGACUUUGGGAUAUCUUUAGGAAACUGGGGCUAAUACCGGAUAGGAUCUCCUGAUGCAUGGUGGGGGUUGGAGAGUUUCGGCGGUUGUGGAUGGACUAGCGGGUUACCCGCUUGAUGGUGAGGUUGGGGAUUACAAAGGUUUCGAAGGAUAGCCGGCCUGGGAGGUGGACCGGCGUCAUGGGGACUGAGAGACGGCGCAGACGCCUACGUGAGGCAGCAGGCGGGAAUAUUGCGCAACGGGCGGAAGCGUGAGGCAGCAACGCCGCGUGCGUAAUGACGGCCUUCGGGUGGUAAACCGCUGUCUCCGGUGACGAAGCGGGAUUGACGGUAAUGGGUAAGAAAGCACCGGCUAACUACGUG